UCUGAAACUUUAAAAAAAGCUCUCUCUCUCUCUCUCUCUCUCUCUCUCUCUCGUGUGUUUGCAGGAAAAACAAAGCCGGGGAGCCCCUUGUUUCUCUCUCUUCGUCUCCGGAUUUCUAGGGUUUUGGGUUUUGAUGACCUUGUACAACCAGAUCUCUCAUGGCGGAGACCCACAUUACCAAUGGAGAAGCUGUGUCUAGUAAUGAGUCUGCUAAGCCGACGUUUUUUACCACAUCGGCAUCCUUUAAGACUAAGAAGAAGAGUUCGAUCGCUCGUUCCGGUUCUGAAGUGGAUGAUUUCAUUAAUCUCUUGCACGGCUCUGAUCCAGUCAGGGUUGAGCUCAAUCGGCUAGAAAAUGAGGUUAGAGAUAAGGAUAGGGAAUUGGGAGAUGCGCAGGCAGAAAUUAAGGCAUUGAGGUACUCUGAACGCCUCAAAGAAAAGGCUGUUGAAGAGCUGACUGAUGAGCUGCAAAAGGUCGAGGAAAAGCUAAAGGCAACUGAAGUUCUUCUGGAAAACAAAAACCUUGAGAUUAAGAAAAUAAAUGAGGAGAAGAAAGCAGCUCUGGCUGCACAGUUUGCAGCUGAAGCCACGCUUAGGAGAGUCCAUGCUGCCCAAAAGGAUGAUGAGAUGCCUCCUAUUGAAGCUAUUAUCACUCCACUGGAGGCAGAGCUAAAGCUGACUAGGCAGGAGGCAGCAAAGUUGCAGGAGGACAAUAGAGCAUUGGAUCGCCUAACUAAAUCGAAGGAAGCUGCUCUACUUGAGGCCGAGAGAACUGUUGAGAUUGCUUUAGCAAAGGCAUCCUUGGUUGAUGAUCUGCAAAACAAGAACCAAGAGCUAAUGAAGCAGAUUGAGAUAUGCCAGGAGGAGAACAAGAUCCUGGACAAGAUGCAUAGGCAAAAGGUUGCAGAGGUCGAAAAGCUAAGCCAAACAGUCCGUGAACUUGAGGAAGCUGUUCUUGCUGGCGGUGCUGCUGCCAAUGCUGUGCGUGAUUAUCAGAGGAAAGUGCAGGAGAUGAAUGUGGAGAGGAAAACUCUUGACCGGGAAUUAGCUCGUGCAAAGAUCUCUGCAAAUCGAGUUGCAACAGUAGUUGCAAAUGAAUGGAAAGAUGCCAAUGACAAAGUAAUGCCUGUAAAGCAAUGGCUUGAAGAAAGAAGAUUUUUUCAGGGAGAAAUGCAACAACUUCGAGACAAACUAGCAAUAGCAGAACGUGCAGCAAAGUCAGAAGCCCAGUUGAAGGAGAAAUACCAAUUGCGUCUCAAAGUUAUGGAAGAAGGAUUGAAACAAUCUUCUAAUGGUAAUGGUCGAACAACGUUAGAAGGAAGAAGUAUAAGCAACGGGCGUUCCAGACGCCAAUCUCUCGGUGGAGCAGAAAUUCUUUCCAGAUCGUCGCCUAAUGGAUUUUUGUCCAAAAAGUUGUCAAAUUCACAGCUUGGUUCUUCACCUUCCAACAGUGCUAGUGCAUUGUUGAAACAUGCCAAAUGUUCAUCAAGAUCAUUUGAUGGUGGUAGUAGGUCAGGGGAAAGAAGUAAACAAACAUCAACUGGGGAUAGGAAAUGUUAUGCACCUGACAAAGCCAGUGAUGGGAUACGAAGUAAUGAAAGUACUGGAACAUGUAAGGAUACCUCAGAUGCAGAACCAACUGACAACCCUAAAAUUAGUGAAGAUUAUGUGUCUGGAUUGUUGUAUGAUAUGUUGCAAAAGGAGGUCAUAACUUUGAGGAAAGCUUGCCAUGAGAAGGAUCAGAGUCUCAAGGACAAGGAUGACGCUAUUGAGAUGCUAGCAAAAAAGGUCGAGACUUUGAAUAAAGCAAUGGAAGUUGAGGCCAAAAAAAUGCGAAGAGAAGUAGCUGCUAUGGAAAAGGAAGUUGCUGCCAUGCGUGGUAACAAGGAGCAUGAUCCCAGGGCACGUCGCCCCAGUGCUUCUAGAGGGCCUAUUACUAGCUCUCAAUUACUUUCUACAAGGAACUUGCGGAAUGCAUAGGCAACUGAUAACACGAUGACUGGAUCAGGACAGUUUUUGUACUAAGUUCCCCAGUCAAUAGGGGGUGAGGAUCUGGCUGGUCCUUCGCGAGAAGGCUCAUGAUCGGAAUUACUAUAUCGUGGAUUGGAUCUGACACUGUUGACCCUGAGAAAGAUUGCGCAAUCUGGCCUAAUCCUGGCUGACAUUGUACAGGAUAUUGGUGGUAUCAGUGAGGAUUGCAUGGAUUGGCAAUAUUUGAUCCUUCAAUGCUGAGACAGAUUGCCUAUGUGUGAAAAUAAUUUUGAAGAUCAACAUUAUUUGAAGAUGAGGGGCUUUUGUAUAAGCAAGGAAAGAAAAAGUUUAUUUUUCCAGUAAGGCAUAUGAUUGAGAUAUAUGGCUUAGCCAAAGAAUUGCCUAUCUCGUACCGGUAGAAUUGGAUCUUUUUGCUCUCUUUUUUAACCCUUUGUUUGAAUUUCAUGAUGCAGACUGCCAACAUCUGGUUCAUUGUAUAAGUAAAUCAGUGACAUGGACAAUUAUGAUGGGCAUUGUAUAAUCUGCUCUUCACAGUCAAUUCCUGUGAUUAAGGAGUUUAAAUCCCCACUAUGAUAUUGUCAACUGUAUGGCUCAUCCCUCCUCUUAGUUGGUCCUGUUGAAGCAACAAUUGGUGUCUAUGCCUAAGAAGGUUGCAUGGAUGGCAUGGCUAGGAUGAUUGAAUUGAGUCACUAAGGCAGUGUAUGGUAACAUUUCUAUUCUAAAUUGGUAUUCAAUCGUGUGAUCAUUGUGCUAA